rnacentral:sRNA from 1 species
GGAAAAGGGGUAAGGUGUUCUAAGUUUGCGUUUUAAUUCAUCAAUAAGGCAAUU